rnacentral:lncRNA from 1 species
GGCCGCUCUGCCGGCGGAAGGCUUCGGACUCAGUGCCCAGCAUGCCCUGCGCCAGGCCCGCCCUCCCGAGAGGUCCCUCUGAGCCCAGCAGAAGAAUCCGGAGGCCACCCUGUGCAGAGCCUGACCUAGUUAGCCGGCCUGUUCAGGACCCACUGUACCCAGACAGAUGGGUGCCUCUUCUGGACAGACUGAAGGCUGCCCAGCACGAUUUACCUGGAGCGCAGCCAUCACAUCUUGCUCAGGACCCCAGCAAGAGCAAGGCACAGCUCAGUGUGCAUGUCCAGAAGGCCAAGAACAGCAAAGCUGAGAAGUCAAAAGCCUCUUGAGAGCUCCGCGUUAAUCAUCACUGCAGCAAGAGGCAGGGAGUAGGCGACUUGCGGUUGUGCUCCGGACCAGGCACCGGCUGUGGCGUCCAGCCAGACGGACAGCAACGUCCUGGCGGUCUCUGUGCUUUGUGCUCUUCUGUUGCUGUCCAGAAUUCCCCCAAAUUGCUGAACAAGAAGCCAUAUAUUGUAUUUUGUCCUGGGCCCCACGAAUAGUGUGGCUCAUCUUGAUGGGCUCCCUACCCCCACCCCCUAGAACUCAGGAAGGUGGGAAGAUUGGAUGAAAAGUUUCCCAAAGAUGUUUUAGCUGUGAGAUCCUUGCCCAAAGAAACUGUAUGUAGAACUUGGGACAUGACCUGUAGGACAGAUUAAUUUCUAAAUCUCUUUUCCUGUGAUGUUUCUGUUCCUUUGGUUUCUUCAUCUUUUGUUUCUCUCUGUUCUAGUUCUUCAGCUUUCUUUCUGCAGAGUGUUUCUCUGAGUCCUUGGAGAUGGAGAAGAGUCAUCUUGGCAGUUACAUACCCCCUGGUUACCUGGAAGGGAUCGUGUUGUUGUCUGUAGGUCAACAGGAGAGUGUCAGGUCUCCCUGGCCUCCUCCCUGGCUUCCUUAUGGGCAUGGUGGCACCUGACCCACAGAGGUGACCAGCCGGAGGCUCCUGGACAGUGUAUGGCCAAGAGGGGCCUCCAGACCCAGGGGAAGUGA